CCGUCGAUAGCUCAGUUGGUAGAGCGGUGGACUGUAGAGGUCUCUCGCUGGCAUCCAUAGGUCGCUGGUUCGAAUCCGGCUCGACGGA
rnacentral:tRNA from 1 species